rnacentral:rRNA from 1 species
CUGGGAUUAGAUACCCCACUAUGCUUAGCCCUAAACACAGAUAAUUGUAUAAACAAAAUUAUUUGCCAGAGUACUACCAGCAACAGCUUAAAACUCAAAGGACUUGGCGGUGCUUUAUAUCCUUCUAGAGGAGCCUGUUCUGUAAUCGAUAAACCCCGAUAAACCUCACCAGUUCUUGCUAAUACAGUCUAUAUACCGCCAUCUUCAGCAAACCCUAAA